GGCUGGUUAGCCCAGUUGGUUAGGGUGUGGUGCUGACAACACCAAGGUCCAAGGUUCAAUCCUUUUACUGGCCA